rnacentral:misc_RNA from 1 species
AAGUCGUAACAAGGUUUCCGUAGGUGAACCUGCGGAAGGAUCAUUCAUGUGAUUUUAAACACCCAACUUCUUGUUAACUAUUAGUUAAAAAAAGUGCCCAAGGUUCUGUGUUUUUCUUUUGUUGGCUGCGUUUUCUUUCAUAGCACUCUAUUUUCAAAGCACUCUAAAACAACCGAGAAAAUAGGAAAAGAAAUGAUAAAUGCUACCUUUAAACUUACACUAAAAUUCACCCAAAACCAUACCAUAAAAACACCUAAAAAACUAUUACAACUUUUAACGAUGGAUCCCUCGGCUCUCA